UGGGGAAUUUUGGACAAUGGGCGAAAGCCUGAUCCAGCAAUGCCGCGUGAGUGAAGAAGGCCUUCGGGUUGUAAAGCACUUUCAAUUGGGAAGAAAGGUUGCGUGUUAAUAGCACGUAGCUGUGACGUUACCUUUAGAAUAAGCACCGGCUAACUACGUGCCAGCAGCCGCGGUAAUACGUAGGGUGCAAGCGUUAAUCGGAAUUACUGGGCGUAAAGCGUGCGCAGGCGGUUAUGUAAGACAGUUGUGAAAUCCCCGGGCUCAACCUGGGAACUGCAUCUGUGACUGCAUAGCUAGAGUACGGUAGAGGGGGAUGGAAUUCCGCGUGUAGCAGUGAAGUGCGUAGAUAUGCGGAGGAACACCGAUGGCGAAGGCAAUCCCCUGGACCUGUACUGACGCUCAUGCACGAAAGCGUGGGGAGCAAACAGG
rnacentral:rRNA from 1 species